rnacentral:rRNA from 1 species
AACGUAGGUGGCAAGCGUUAUCCGGAAUUACUGGGCGUAAAGGGUGUGCAGGCGGCUCUUUGCGUCGGUGGUGAAAUCUCCUGGCUUAACUGGGAGGGGGCCAUCGAUACGGGGGAGCUUGAGGGCUAGAGAGGGAAGUAGAACUCCCGGUGGACCAGUGAAAUGGGUAGAUAUCGGGAAGAAUACCUGAGGUGAAGACGGCUUCCUGGCUAGCACCUGACGCUCAUACACGAAAGCUUGGGGAGCAAACAGG